rnacentral:rRNA from 1 species
UACGUAGGGGGCUAGCGUUGUCCGGAAUUACUGGGCGUAAAGCGCACGUAGGCGGCUAUUCAAGUCAGAGGUGAAAGCCCGGGCUCAACCCCGGAACUGCCUUUGAAACUAGGUAGCUAGAAUCUUGGAGAGGUCAGUGGAAUUCCGAGUGUAGAGGUGAAAUUCGUAGAUAUUCGGAAGAACACCAGUGGCGAAGGCGACUGACUGGACAAGUAUUGACGCUGAGGUGCGAAAGCGUGGGGAGCAAACAGG